CAAACCAAAUGUCCAAUCCCAUGAACUAGGGAUAUACCAAACCAAAUGCAAAGAAGAAGACGAAGCAGAAAAGAGGGGGGGGAGACCAAAUCAUCAAAUCCAGAUGAUCACCAAACGAAUUCGAAAAAGAAUAUCAUAGAGGAGAAAAACCAAUUCUUGAUAAACCAACCAAGGAGAAAGAAUCAGAAGAAAUGAGUGACCCAAAUAAAACCAAGCCCAACAGAACAAAAAACCCAAACAAAGACUAGUCCAACAUUACCAAAAUAAAGUGUUGGCAAUCUACAGCCCAUAUUUAUCACUCCACAAAGGAACUUGAUUGCUGUCCAAAAAAUAGCCCAAACUAACAAAACAACCCAAUUAAUCUGGCAAGAAACUACCGACACAGGUCCACCAAGAAAUCAGCCAACAAAAAGACGGCCCAAUUAAAAACAACGUCAGUAACCCAGUAGGAACUAACAAAUGAAGGCCCAAAAAUAUCAUUAGACCGGCCCAAUAAUAAACUGACCCACAGCCCUUCAUCAAUUAACUUAGUCCAAUUACACCGGUGACCUGCCGAUUAAAAUCAGCCCAUCUUCUUUCACACAGUGCGCUGUGUGCAAUAUUAGCGCUUGAUUAAUUUCAAAAACAAGGUCUCUUCUCAACUUUCGGCUAUGAAUAAACUAAUUAAAUAGUUAACAAACUUCAG
rnacentral:lncRNA from 1 species